UAGGAAAUGGUCAAAGGCAAACUUCAAAGUAAAUGUAGAAGAAAACAAAAAGUAAAACUGUCUUGUAAUCUGAAGCCUAAAACAUUGUUUUGCAGAGCUCAAGAAUGCAGAGGUCAAGAGAAAGCUUUGAAGGAUGUGCUAGAACUAGCUUUAUUCAGAAUCUGGAGGCCAGCAUUUCAGCCAAAAGGAAAAACAUGUUUUAUGUACCUAAAUUGGAAGAAAAACUAUUUUGCUUUGAUUCUCAAGAGCUUGUAGGUAAGUG